GACGAACGCUGGCGGCGUGCUUAACACAUGCAAGUCGAACGGAAAGGCCCUGCUUUUGUGGGGUGCUCGAGUGGCGAACGGGUGAGCAACACGUGAGUAACCUGCCCUUGACUUUGGGAUAACUUCAGGAAACUGGGGCUAAUACCGGAUAGGAGCUCCUGCUGCAUGGUGGGGGUUGGAAAGUUUCGGCGGUUGGGGAUGGACUCGCGGCUUAUCAGCUUGUUGGUGGGGUAGUGGCUUACCAAGGCUUUGACGGGUAGCCGGCCUGAGAGGGUGACCGGCCACGUUGGGACUGAGAUACGGCCCAGACUCCUACGGGAGGCAGCAGUGGGGAAUAUUGCACAAUGGGCGGAAGCCUGAUGCAGCAACGCCGCGUGCGGGAUGACGGCCUUCGGGUUGUAAACCGCUUUCGCCUGUGACGAAGCGUGAGUGACGGUAAUGGGUAAAGAAGCACCGGCUAACUACGUG
rnacentral:rRNA from 1 species